rnacentral:sRNA from 1 species
CCAUAGCCCUGAUUGCAGUGGAAAUCCCACAGCAAGCCUUGGGAAAGCCAGGUGCGAGGAAUUGCAACGGAAAGCAGGUUCCCGG